rnacentral:rRNA from 1 species
GACGAACCGUGCGAACGUUGUUCGGAAUCACUGGGCUUAAAGGGUGCGUAGGCGGGUUGUCCAGUCUGGGGUGAAAUCCCACGGCUCAACCGUGGAAUUGCCUCAGAUACUGACGGCCUCGAGGGAGGGAGGGGCGAGCGGAACUGUGGGUGGAGCGGUGAAAUGCGUUGAUAUCCACAGGAACUCCGGUGGCGAAGGCGGCUCGCUGGACCUCUUCUGACGCUGAGGCAAGAAAGCUAGGGGAGCAAACAGG